rnacentral:rRNA from 1 species
GGAUAACUAUUGGAAACGAUAGCUAAUACCGCAUAACAAUGGAUGACACAUGUCAUUUAUUUGAAAGGGGCAAUUGCUCCACUACAAGAUGGACCUGCGUUGUAUUAGCUAGUAGGUGAGGUAACGGCUCACCUAGGCGACGAUACAUAGCCGACCUGAGAGGGUGAUCGGCCACACUGGGACUGAGACACGGCCCAGACUCCUACGGGAGGCAGCAGUAGGGAAUCUUCGGCAAUGGGGGCAACCCUGACCGAGCAACGCCGCGUGAGUGAAGAAGGUUUUCGGAUCGUAAAACUCUGUUGUAAGUCAAGAACGAGUGUGAGAGUGGAAAGUUCACACUGUGACGGUAGCUUACCAGAAAGGGACGGCUAACUACGUGCCAGCAGCCGCGGUAAUACGUAGGUCCCGAGCGUUGUCCGGAUUUAUUGGGCGUAAAGCGAGCGCAGGCGGUUUGAUAAGUCUGAAGUUAAAGGCUGUGGCUCAACCAUAGUUCGCUUUGGAAACUGUCAAACUUGAGUGCAGAAGGGGAGAGUGGAAUUCCAUGUGUAGCGGUGAAAUGCGUAGAUAUAUGGAGGAACACCGGUGGCGAAAGCGGCUCUCUGGUCUGUAACUGACGCUGAGGCUCGAAAGCGUGGGGAGCGAACAGGAUUAGAUACCCUGGUAGUCCACGCCGUAAACGAUGAGUGCUAGGUGUUGGAUCCUUUCCGGGAUUCAGUGCCGCAGCUAACGCAUUAAGCACUCCGCCUGGGGAGUACGACCGCAAGGUUGAAACUCAAAGGAAUUGACGGGGGCCCGCACAAGCGGUGGAGCAUGUGGUUUAAUUCGAAGCAACGCGAAGAACCUUACCAGGUCUUGACAUCCCGAUGCUAUUUCUAGAGAUAGAAAGUUACUUCGGUACAUCGGUGACAGGUGGUGCAUGGUUGUCGUCAGCUCGUGUCGUGAGAUGUUGGGUUAAGUCCCGCAACGAGCGCAACCCCUAUUGUUAGUUGCCAUCAUUCAGUUGGGCACUCUAGCGAGACUGCCGGUAAUAAACCGGAGGAAGGUGGGGAUGACGUCAAAUCAUCAUGCCCCUUAUGACCUGGGCUACACACGUGCUACAAUGGUUGGUACAACGAGUUGCGAGUCGGUGACGGCAAGCUAAUCUCUUAAAGCCAAUCUCAGUUCGGAUUGUAGGCUGCAACUCGCCUACAUGAAGUCGGAAUCGCUAGUAAUCGCGGAUCAGCACGCCGCGGUGAAUACGUUCCCGGGCCUUGUACACACCGCCCGUCACACCACGAGAGUUUGUAACACCCGAAGUCGGUGAGGUAAC